rnacentral:rRNA from 1 species
AACGUAGGACGCAAGCGUUAUCCGGAGUUACUGGGCGUAAAGCGCGGGCAGGCGGCUCGAUGCGUCUGAUGUGAAAUCUCCUCGCUCAACGGGGAGAGGCCAUUGGAAAAGGACGAGCUGGAGGGCAGUAGAGGUAGGCGGAAUUCCGGGUGGAGUGGUGAAAUGCGUAGAGAUCCGGAGGAACACCAGAGGCGAAGGCGGCCUACUGGGCUGCACCUGACGCUGAGCCGCGAAAGCCAGGGGAGCGAACGGG